rnacentral:rRNA from 1 species
CGGGGUGAGUAACGCGUGGGUAACCUGCCUCAUACAGGGGGAUAACGAUUGGAAACGAUUGCUAAUACCGCAUAAGCGCACAGUACCACAUGGUGCAGUGUGAAAAACUCCGGUGGUAUGAGAUGGACCCGCGUCUGAUUAGCUAGUUGGUGAGGUAACGGCCCACCAAGGCAACGAUCAGUAGCCGACCUGAGAGGGUGACCGGCCACAUUGGGACUGAGACACGGCCCAG